GCAGCAGACCGUUCUGUCGCUCUGUACAUUCGUGUAUGGGGAGGAAAGUCCGGACAACACAGAGCACCAUGCUUCCUAACGGGAAGAUGCCCGUGAGGGUAUAGUAAGGUAACAGAAAAUAACCGUCCCGAUGUUUGUCCUGAGCUUGCCGAAGGAUACUCGGGAUAAGGGUGAAAAGGUGAGGUAAGAGCUCACCGGAUCCUGUGGUGACACGGGAUGCCGUACCUCUUAUGGGUUGAAAGACCACGUAUACCGGCACUGAGGAUUGCUCGUCCGAUGUCGGGGGGUGGGUCGUUAAAGCUAUCCAGCAAUGAAUAGCUUAGAGAAAUGACAGAAAACCUGCCAGCAUAUCUCUAUGAGGUAGAAGGACAGGGGACAGAAUCCGGCUUACAGGUUUGCUGCAUUA
rnacentral:RNase_P_RNA from 1 species